rnacentral:lncRNA from 1 species
AAAAAAUUAAAACUAUCCUUACAUAUGAUCUUCAUAUAUCUUUGUAAAGGAUGUGAACAUACAAAGAUGCUUAAAUCACAAAACAUCUAAAGAUAAUGCGAAGUAUAGAGGUAUAUCUCUAUUCCCAAUCAAACUUUACAAUGAUUUUUACUACGUGCCAAAUUCCUAUUCCUUCUACUGAAAUCAAUAACUACACAACAAAAUAAAACUAAUGAUAUUAACUAAAUAAAAUUAAUCCCCUAACAACCAUUCAAAAUCAAACAAAUGUUUAAUUUCAAAGACAACAUAUUGAAACUUAGGGUUCAACAUUAUCUUAGCAUCUAUGCAAUCAGUCAAGCAUCAGGUGAGUAUAUAAACACAAAUGAAAUAGAUAUAAUAUCACCCAAUAAUGUUUGAAAAGAAGAUGGAAAGAAAUCUUAAAAUUGUUGAAUAUUUCAAUGGCUCCUUAAUCAACUUAUUGAUUCGUCCCUUCAUCUUUGGCUCUCCUCUGCAAGAUUAUGAGUUGGCUUGAAUGAUUUCUGUAUAUUAAGAUCCCACAAGCCUUCUCUAAUUGUUGGAUGAAAGUACAUAUUAUUGGCCAAGAAUUAGGUAAAAAUUGUGACCUAAUUUCUUUCCAAACAAAUAGAUCGAAAAGAGCAAGCAAACAAAUUUGUUUUGCCGGAAAUAUGUUGUGCAUGCGCACAGCCCAUUUGGUUGCAAUCACAUAAACUUUCAAUCUGUUAAGCAAACACAAUGGCAUGAGCUUGCCUCCAUUUUCAUUUCAUUCCCAACUUCCUUCUUUUGGUUUGCUCGAGUUCUUUACGUGUGCAACUUUAGUCC